rnacentral:rRNA from 1 species
AUUGAACGCUGGCGGAAUGCUUUACACAUGCAAGUCGAACGGUAGAGGGGGGCAACCCCUUGAGAGUGGCGAACGGGUGAGUAAUAUAUCGGAACGUGCCCAGUCGUGGGGAUAACGUAGCGAAAGCUACGCUAAUACCGCAUACGAUCUACGGAUGAAAGCGGGGGAUCGCAAGACCUCGCGCGAUUGGAGCGGCCGAUAUCAGAUUAGGUAGUUGGUGAGGUAAAGGCUCACCAAGCCGACGAUCUGUAGCUGGUCUGAGAGGACGACCAGCACACU